GCCUACCGCCGGCGUCCACUUCCGCUGGGUUCCCUCCGCCACAGCCCACACAGGUACUGGAACCGGUGGAAGGAGACGGGCGGGACUUCCCGCGGUCAAGGUCAGGCCUCUUCCGGACUUGGCGGUGCCCUGUUCCUGUUCCACGGGGUGUCGGGUCCUGGGAGGGAGGAGCCAAGUCCCAGUGAAUACUGACGUUGUCUCUCGCUCUCUGGCGCUUUUCCCAGCCUUUUCCAGUUGCUGCAGAGCCAUCUGAAAGGAAGGAAUCAAGCCUCUGUGUUCUGGAAGUCAGUUUUAUUUCACAGGAAAGGAAAAGGGGCUGUUCCAGCCCAGAGGAAAAAGCCUAAUUCUGCCAGGCAGAGAAGAGACGAAUCAGAACAGGGGAAGUGACAUUUGGACUCAGUUUUGAAUUCACAUAUAGCACCAAGAACACUCUAAGAAGUCCGUUCAACGUUUCCAUCAGAAGUCAAAACAGAGGAUGACUUACGGAAUGCCAGUGGGAACAAAGGAAGGAAUGGAAGAGAAGCUGUAUUGGAAAAAGGAAAUAAUACCAGAUGGUAACUUGAAUCAACAGGAACAAAGAAAGAGACCAGAAAUGGUAAGAAAGGUUUGAACUACACAGGUCAACUUAUAUGUGGAUUUUCCUACACCUCUGCUUCCUCCACUUUCAACCUGAAGACAACAAGAAUGAAGACCUUUAUGAUGAGCCACUCAAUGAAUAGCAAAUAUAUUUUCUCUUCCUUAUGAUUUUCUUAAUAACAUUUUCUUUCACCCAGCUUACUUUAUUAUAAGAAUACAGUAUAUAAUAAAAGUAACAUACAAAAUAUAUGUUAAUUGACUGUU